rnacentral:rRNA from 1 species
GACGAACGCUGGCGGCGUGCUUAACACAUGCAAGUCGAGCGGAGCGGCGAACGGGUGAGUAACGCGUGAGUAACUGCCCCCCUCCCUGGGAUAACAGUUGGAAACGGCUGCUAAUACCGGAUAGUGGGGGAUGACUCGCGCCCUAUCAGCUUGUUGGUGGGGUAGUGGCCUACCAAGGCGACGACGGGUAGCCGGCCUGAGAGGGCGACCGGCCACAUUGGGCUGAGAUACGGCCCCAACUCCUAAGGGAGGCAGCAGGGGGGAAGAUUGCACAAUCGGGGAAACCCUGAUGCAGCAACGCCGCGUGCGGGAUGACGGCCUUCGGGUGGUAAACCGCUUUCAGCCAUGACGCGGUAGUUGCAGGAGGAGCACCGGGUAACUACGGGCCAGCAGCCGCGGUAAUAC